UAGGGAAUCUUCGGCAAUGGGGGCAACCCUGACCGAGCAACGCCGCGUGAGUGAAGAAGGUUUUCGGAUCGUAAAGCUCUGUUGUAAGUCAAGAACGGGUGUGAGAGUGGAAAUUUCACACUGUGACGGUAGCUUACCAGAAAGGGACGGCUAACUACGUGCCAGCAGCCGCGGUAAUACGUAGGUCCCGAGCGUUGUCCGGAUGUAUUGGGCGUAAAGCGAGCGCAGGCGGUUUGAUAAGUCUGAAGUUAAAGGCUGUGGCUCAACCAUAGUUCGCUUUGGAAACUGUCAAACUUGAGUGCAGAAGGGGAGAGUGGAAUUCCAUGUGUAGCGGUGAAAUGCGUAGAUAUAUGGAGGAACGCCGGUGGCGAAAGCGGCUCUCUGGUCUGUAACUGACGCUGAGGCUCGAAAGCGUGGGGAGCGAACAGG
rnacentral:rRNA from 1 species